GCAGGCCGGGGGCGGUUUCGGGAGGCUGGGGGCGCGUUCCAGCACAGAGUACCUCGCGGGCUGCGUGUGCACCACGGGCCGCGGGACCUCGGGCAGCCGCCUAGAGACGUGCAGUCGGGCGGCAGGACACUUAGUAGGACGGAGCAGUGCUCGGCGAGCCUUGAGGAGCUUGAGGCGCCCCCGGACCCCACCUGGUCGCCCCCUUAGUAUCCUGCCCUCUUUAAAGGAAAUGGCUCCUGCCUAGAAGGUCAGAUGGAUUCUUCGCGCUGUGACCCUUUCUCCUUGAAGGACCUACACCUCCUGUGAAGACCAUUUCGGACUUGACCUCCACCUGAGUGCAGACUUUGUUCAGAAGUACACGCAUUGCCUCCAGCCACCCCUACCAUGUUUGAUGGGGGAUUGGUUACUGCCAGAGCAUAUGAGCAUUUUAACCCAAUUUUAUUGCAGUCACCAAAAUUAGUUCGCCUCUGCCAAAAUUAACCCCCCUGCAGACAUAUCAAAAUACUACACUAAGCAGGGGUUUCAGGCUGGGUUUAAGAUAGAUGCAGCUGAUUAAAGGAGUGAACAUUUUCAACUGUCCCCACACACCCCCCAAAAAGUUGUCCAGUUCAUAUUUCCGUAAUGUCAGAGAAAUGAAUCUUUUGAAACCUACGUUUUGUCUAAUUUGUCAGUGACUUUUUAGUUAGUGAAAUGUUGGCUGAAUUCAGUUUCCCUUAAGCCCUCAGCUCUCAGCUAUGGUGGUAAUUGCCGCUAGCCUUUGAUCAGUGCUCAUAUGUGAUGUAAUAAUAACUACCAUUCAUGGAGCGCUUCUGUGCUAAGCGCUUUACAUGGAUUGUCUGAUUGAGUCCUCACAAUAACUGGGAGCUAUUACUUCUCCAUUUUACACAUGACGAAGUUGAGGCUAGAAGGAUUUAGUAAUUUGUCCUCAGACCACAAAGAGAUGGUUUUACAUCCCUAACUAGCUGCAUAGAAAGCUGGGAGCUGAACCAGCAUGCCAUACUGCCACCUACCUACAGCAGCGCUGACAGUUCUUCAGCUCAGCCCGCAAACCAGCCAGCAUCUGCCCUGUGCCCGGCAAUGAGCCCGCUCCAGCUGGGAAUGCCCAGGUCCUGGUCUAACUGAGAAGCUUGUAGCAGGGGAACUUUGAACCUGGCUGCCUGGAAACUUGGAAGCAACCCAGAUGUCUUCAGUAGGUGAAUGGAUAAAUAAACUGUGGUGCAUCCCAAUAUUGGAAUAUGAUUCAGCACUAAAAAGAAAUGAGCUAUCAAGCCAUGAAAAGAUAUGGAGGAAAUUUAAAUGCACAUUAUUUAAGUUAAGGAAGACAAUCUGAAAAGGCUACACCCUGUAUGAGUCCAACUCUAUGACACCCUGGAAAAGGCAAAACUACGGAGACAAUAAAAAGAUCAGGGGUUGCCAAGGGUUGGAUGUUGGGGAGGGAUGAAUAGAUAGAACAUAGAGGAUUCUUCAGACAGUGAAACUACUCUGUCUGAUACUAUAAUGGUGGAUACACAGUAUUAUACAAUCAUCCAAACCCGUAGAAUGUACAACACCAAGACUGAACCUCCAACUCCUGGGCUCAAGUGAUCCUCUGCCUCAGCCUCCCGAGUAGCUGAAACUAUUGGUGCACACGACCACAUCUGGCCAAUUUUUAAAAAAUUACUAUAGAGGCAGGAUCUCACUAUGUUGCCCAGGAUAGUCUCAAACUCCUGGCCUCAAGCCAUCCUCCUGCCUCAACCUUCAAAAGUGCUGGGAUUGCCACCACCCAGGCUCGCCCCUGGUCCUUAGUUGGCAAUAAAGUAUCACUCUUGGCUCAUCAGUUGCAACAUCAGCAUAUCACAGUAAUGCAAGAGGUUUACAGUGCAGGACAUAGGGACUUGGUGAGGGGACAUGAGAAUCCUCUGCACAUUCUGUUCAAUUUGUCUCAAAAUAAAAUAUAUUCAUUAAAAUAAAACUACUAAUUUCUUAUCAACUCAUCUCAUAAAAUGGACUGAUGGGAGACUAAGUCAGUAUCCUAUUAGCAGACACAACCAGAAAUUAAGAGUGGUCCCAUGUCAAAGAGGUUUGCCCAAGCAUUGCAGAUACAGGACUGAACAGACUGCCAUCCUGGCCGUCUCGAAUGUCAAUGUUAGUAAUAGUUAUUUUAUUAUGAUGUUGAACUCAUCAUUUAUAAUGCCAUAUUUGUUGCUUCAGUUAUCACAUUUAACCUGUCACAAGCUUAAAAAUACAUAUUCUUUAAAAAGAUAGUUUGUGGAUCAAGAACUCCCAGUUAAGCCUACUAGAUGAGCUGUGUGUGUUUGUUGCUCUCCCUUCAAAAAAACUGCUAAAAUAAUAAUUGAAAAGAUACAAACCCACUUGUCGAAGGGAGAAGAGACCAACGGCAGACAUAAGAUUCCAGACGAUUUUUGGAGAGUGGAAAGAGCACGCAGUUGACUUAGAAAAGCAUCCCGGGCCGGGCAUGGUGGCUCACGCCAGUAAUCCCAGCACUUUGGGAGGCCAAGGCAGGAGGACUGCUUGAGGUCAGGAGUUCGAAACCAGCCUGGCCAACAUGGCAAAACCCCAUCUCUACUAAAAAUACAAAAAAAAAAAAAAAAUUAGCUGGGCAUGGUGGCAGGUGGCAGGUGCCUAUAAUCCCAGCUACUCGGGAGGCUGAGGCAGGAGAAUUGCUUGAGCCUGGGAGGUGGACGUUGCAGUGAGCCGAGGUCGUGCCACUGCACUCCAGCCUGGGUGACAGAGUGCGACUCCAUCUCUAAAAAAGAAAAA